rnacentral:rRNA from 1 species
AUUGAACGCUGGCGGAAUGCUUUACACAUGCAAGUCGAGCGGCAGCGCGGGGCAACCUGGCGGCGAGCGGCGAACGGGUGAGUAAUACAUCGGAACGUACCCUGUCGUGGGGGAUAACGAGUCGAAAGAUUCGCUAAUACCACAUACGACCUGAGGGUGAAAGCGGGGGAUCGCAAGACCUAGCGCGAUAGGAGCGGCCGAUGGAGGAUGAGCUAGUUGGUGAGGUAAAGGCUCACCAAGGCGACGAUCCGUAGCGGGUCUGAGAGUGACGACCCGCCACACUGGAACUGAGACACGGUCCAGACUCCUACGGGAGGCAGCAGUGGGGAAUUUUGGACAAUGGGGGCAACCCUGAUCCAGCCAUUCCGCGUGAGUGAAGAAGGCCUUCGGGUUGUAAAGCUCUUUCGGCAGGAACGAAACGGUCCUUUCUAAUACAGAGGGCUAAUGACGGUACCUGAAGAAGAAGCACCGGCUAACUACGUGCCAGCAGCCGCAGUAA